GACACGUUGCCGUGUCUGUACGUCGUUGAAAAGAACGCAGAAGCACGACGUUACUGAAGAAGGGAGGACGCGGCCCUCGCCCCAGGCAGGCGCUGGCCGUAAGCGGCAGCCCACCUUCCUCUGGCAUAUGGUGGUGGUGCGGUAUUUGUAAAUAUUUCCCUCAUCACGUGCAUCCAGCGCCUCAGAGCGCAGGACGGUACCUGCGGCCAGGCCGGGCAGCUGGGGCGAGAGGGGCCUGCGGGGCCUUCGGCCCCAAACGUCCCCACGGCGAAGCUGCGGGGCUCCGGGUGGGCCUCGGUGCCUCCCUGCCGGCACCUGAGCUGCAGGUGGGGCUCCGGAGGAGCGCUCCUACCUCACAGCCAGCGCCGAGAGCCAGGGCCAGGCGGGGCCUCGCCUUGUCCUCGAGCAGAACUCCUGCUCGGUCAGCCAGGGGCUGCGGGCACGUCGUGGCACAAGGGCGCGUUCAGGGGAAAGCUGUAAUUCCCUUCUAUUCCAUACACUAACUUCAGAAAAUAAAACACGCACACAUAUAUAUCUAUAUAUUUUUUAAGGAAGAUUUUUUUUUCCUCUCGAGUGCUGAUUUAGCUUGAAUGUAGACAGAGACACGCAGCCAGGCGCCUGCUGAAGGUCUGCCCUUGGGUCACACUUGUUGGGGUGCCAGGGAGCCAGGAAAGAAAUGCCCGUUUCAAAUUAAUAAAUAUUGAGAAUGGGCCUCUCUGUGUGGAUGGAGUGCUGCUGCCUGAACUCCAGUGUAAGAACUGCAGUAUCUACUUGCCGUGGCGUUAGGAGACACCCCCAAAUUAGACCUGCGGCAGCUCCUGCUUUGCACCCCUGCUCUGUGGCACUCGGAGUUCCUGCUGCUUCAGCAGCGAGACUCCCAAAGCCAGAGGGACUGACAACGAGCGACCGAGGGUCCACACCGCUCUGUCAGACGCACGCAGCGCACCCUGCCUUCAGGAGGGGCGGCGGCGCCCGGCCGUGCCUUCCUGCAGCCACGGGGUCCCCGCGGCGCGGGGCGGCGGCAGAGUGCGUGCCUUAUGAAUAA
rnacentral:lncRNA from 1 species